rnacentral:rRNA from 1 species
GUGGGGAAUAUUGGACAAUGGGGGGAACCCUGAUCCAGCCAUGCCGCGUGUGUGAAGAAGGCCUUUUGGUUGUAAAGCACUUUAAGCGAGGAGGAGGCUACCGAGAUUAAUACUCUUGGAUAGUGGACGUUACUCGCAGAAUAAGCACCGGCUAACUCUGUGCCAGCAGCCGCGGUAAUACAGAGGGUGCAAGCGUUAAUCGGAUUUACUGGGCGUAACGCGCGCGUAGGUGGCCAAUUAAGUCAAAUGUGAAAUCCCCGAGCUUAACUUGGGAAUUGCAUUCGAUACUGGUUGGCUAGAGUAUGGGAGAGGAUGGUAGAAUUCCAGGUGUAGCGGUGAAAUGCGUAGAGAUCUGGAGGAAUACCGAUGGCGAAGGCAGCCAUCUGGCCUAAUACUGACACUGAGGUGCGAAAGCAUGGGGAGCAAACAGGAUUAGAUACCCUGGUAGUCC